rnacentral:rRNA from 1 species
AGCUCCAAUAGCGUAUAUUAAAGCUGUUGCGGUUAAAAAGCUCGUAGUUGGAUUUCUGUCAAGGACAACUGGUCCGCCCCUCGGGUGAGCACAUAGUUUGGUCUUGGCAUCUUGUUGGAAACUGUUGCUGCACUUGGUUGUGUGGCGCAGUGUCCAGCACUUUCACUUUGAGGAAAUUGGAGUGUUUCAAGCAGGCACAUGCCUUUGGACACAGUAGCAUGGAAUAAUUAGAUUGGGCUUUUGCUCCAACUUGUCGGUUUCUGGAGCUGAGGUGAGAAUUAAUGGGGAUUGUUGGGGGCAUCCGAAUUUAGCCGUCAGAGGUGAAAUUCUUGGAUCUGCUAAAGACGGACAACUGCGAAAGCGUUUGCCCAGGAUGUUUUCAUUGAUCAAGAACGAAAGU